rnacentral:rRNA from 1 species
UACGUAGGGUGCAAGCGUUGUCCGGAAUUAUUGGGCGUAAAGAGCUCGUAGGCGGUGUGUCACGUCGGCCGUGAAAACCCGUGGCUCAACCAUGUGGUCUGCAGUCGAUACGGGCAGGCUAGAAUCCGGUAGGGGAGACUGGAAUUCCUGGUGUAGCGGUGAAAUGCGCAGAUAUCAGGAGGAACACCGGUGGCGAAGGCGGGUCUCUGGGCCGAUAUUGACGCUGAGGAGCGAAAGCGUGGGGAGCGAACAGG